AAACUUUCAACAAAGGAUCUCUUGGCUCUCGCAUCGAUGAAGAACGCAGCGAAGCGCGAAAUGUAGUGUGAAUCGCAGACUAUUGUGAAUCAUCGAAUCUUUGAACGCACAUUGCGCCUCCCCUAACAGGGAGGCAUGCCUGUCUGAGCGUCAU
rnacentral:rRNA from 1 species